rnacentral:rRNA from 1 species
GCCAGACUCCUACGGGAGGCAGCAGUGGGGGAUAUUGCACAAUGGGGGAAACCCUGAUGCAGCGACGCCGCGUGAGUGAAGAAGUAUUUCGGUAUGUAAAGCUCUAUCAGCAGGGAAGAAAAUGACAGUACCUGACCAAGAAGCCCCGGCUAACUACGUGCCAGCAGCCGCGGUAAUACGUAGGGGGCAAGCGUUAUCCGGAUUUAUUGGGUUUAAAGGGUGCGCAGGCGGAAUGUCAAGUCAGCGGUAAAAUUUCGGGGCUCAACCCCGUCGUGCCGUUGAAACUGGCGUUCUUGAGUGAGCGAGAAGUAUGCGGAAUGCGUGGUGUAGCGGUGAAAUGCAUAGAUAUCACGCAGAACCCCGAUUGCGAAGGCAGCCUUCCGGCGCCCUACUGACGCUGAGGCACGAAAGUGCGGGGAUCGAACAGGAUUAGAUACCCCUGUAC